UUUAGAGGAUGUAUUUAGGGUUAUUGAUAACAUAGGGUGGUGUUACACGGUGUUGCAUGUGAACCCGUUCUGUCCUAGAGUUGUGAGAGAGUUCAUCUCUAACAAACCAUUCAACGAGGAUGGAGCUCUUAUUCGGGGAUUUGUGUACCGUUUCUCCCCCACGGUGAUCAACCAAUUGAUGAUGACACCGUCUGUUGAACACUCCUUUCAGUGGAAAGACGUUGUGCUGAGGCAGGCAAUCACACACCUCACCAGGGUUCAAUGCUCUGGAUGGACGGGAUUCAAUCUAAAUGCUCUGCUCAAUCCCUUCCAAGUUUUGUACCGUGUGUGUGAGCGUAACUGGCUUCCAGGUCCGGAUUCUGAUUUGAUGAUGAAAAGCGUCUCCGCCUCCUGUAUGCUGUGUCCAAACGCAAAGAAAUCGACUUUGGCCAGUUUGUGUACGAACAAGUUAUCGACAUGGCCCGUGUAACAGAUUUGGAGACAGGAUUGAUAUUUCCAAAUCUGAUUUAUCAGCUCUUGGUGCUUCAAAAAGAAGUCCCUCUUUUACCGGGAGAUGAAGAACCUAUGUUAGUGUAAUAGCCAAGUGUUUUUUUUCUUUACAAAGUCCAUCGUUCUCUCAUGAAUGUAGCUAACGUAUGAUCUUUUUGGUAAGUAACAUGUGUCUGAAUCCUCUUCCGAAGGUUGUAAUCACAGUGACAGUUACGUUUUUGUUAUGAUGUCAUUGUAUAAAUUAAAAUGUUGUUUGGUAUGAGAUUAUCUUUUCAGUUGUUUCUAUUACUACUCUUUUUGUUCCACCAUUGUUGAGAUGAAUUUAUUGUUGUUAGAAAGAGAACAUAUUGUUGCUAGAUUCUUGGCUUUGUUAUAAAGAAGCAGUAUAAAGAGGUGCAGAAUCUUGGCUUUGGUUGAUUCUAUACAGUAUGUGUUUGCUACCAAAUCCCGAGUCAAAACUCUACACAGUCAAAGCAGUUGUACUUGGAGCAACAUACAAAAAAAGGAGCAACAUAAAAACCCUCGAUGCGAGGAAUAAGAAGAAGUCAUGGCUGAGACUUGAUAUAUUCCUAAAUUAUUUUUGAUUACUUAAGCUAUUCUUUUUGUUUUUAAACAACCCAAUAUACUUGAUUUUUUAGAGUUUUGAAAAAUAUGACUCUUUCAUUCCAAACAAUAGCAUUCUUAAUUAUCUGCACUUUUCAUUUUUUGGAUAGUUAAAACUACAUCAAGUAUAGCUAUUUUUUUAUAAUGCUAUGAAGACUUUGUUUUUGCUUUAUUUAAAAAUUUGGUUUUAGAUUUUUAUAAUUUAUAUCAUCUAAACAAAAUUAGUAUUUCUAUGGUAUCAAUUUAUUUUAAUAUGUGAUUCCAUAUAUUGCAAUUUUGGAUCCUUCAUGUACGGUCCCUACAAUUAUUUUUGAAUAACAUAAUUAGAACCAUAUUUCAUAUUUGAUUGAAGGAAACUUCAAAAAAAAAAAAUUAUACCAUUGGAUUGGAAUGAUUCAACGGUUUAGAUUAGUAGUCUAGGUUAUCCCCACCAUUGGCUCCCAUUGGUCGAACCCAUUGGAAGUAACGCCGCAUCGUCUUGAUAUAUGGAGUCAUCCUAUAGAUUCCACUACGCUAAUCCAUUCAUCUCUUACCUCAACCCACCACAAGUCUCUCUCAUAAGUCGUAAUCCAUAUCAAGCCACCACAAUCCUAUCCCAAUUCUGUUCCAAUCAACACGAGUUAGAUUAGAGCAUUAUCUUAAGCAUCUACCAACUCUGAUGGAAUCAAAGAAGCAGUCAACACAGCUCAACCAGCCACAACAACCGCCAGAUCAAUUAGCGGUUAGCACAGCUCAGCCAGCCACAUCAAUAAUCACUCAAGGAAGCUCAACCUCGGGAGUAACUAAUGUAUACAAGCUAAGCAAAGCCGAGCUCAAACGCUACCAAUUGACACGCAUUGAGGAACCAUAAGAACACAUCGACCCAGACUACUUCCGUUAUUUGAAAGCAAUAGGUGCGUACGACUCAUCUCAACCGCAGUCAGAACGAGGAAAGGGCCAGGGUCGUGAACACAUCGACCCAGACUACUUGCAUUAUUUGAGAGCAAUUGGUGCGUACGACUCAAUUCAGCAACAGCCAAAACGAGGAAAUGGUCGUGGUCGUGAGGGUCGACGCUAACACAUCUACCUAAUAUUCCUAAUGUUGUGAUAUUUGUAUCACCACUGCUUCGUAAUGUUUUAUUUGCUUCAGUAUGCUAUUUUGCUUGGUAUGGAUAAUUUGAUUCUCUAUGUUUGAUUUGCUUCAGCACAACAUUUUCUUUGCUUGGUAUGUUGUAUUUCCUUUGUCUGUUAUAUUUGCUUGGUAUGUUUUGAUUCACUAA